rnacentral:rRNA from 1 species
UACAGAGGGGGCAAGCGUUGUUCGGAAUUACUGGGCGUAAAGGGCGCGUAGGCGGCCUGUUAAGUCGAACGUGAAAUCCCCGGGCUCAACCCGGGAACUGCGUCCGAUACUGGCUGGCUUGAAUCCGGGAGAGGGAUGUGGAAUUCCAGGUGUAGCGGUGAAAUGCGUAGAUAUCUGGAGGAACACCGGUGGCGAAGGCGACAUCCUGGACCGGUAUUGACGCUGAGGCGCGAAAGCUAGGGGAGCAAACGGG